UACGUAGGGUGCAAGCGUUAAUCGGAAUUACUGGGCGUAAAGCGUGCGCAGGCGGUUCGCUAAGACCGAUGUGAAAUCCCCGGGCUUAACCUGGGAAUGGCAUUUGGGACUGCAAGGCUUGAGUGCGGCAGAGGAGACUGGAAUUCCUGGUGUAGCAGUGAAAUUCGUAGAUAUCGGGAGGAACACCAGUGGCGAAGGCGGCUCUCUGGACAGGUACUGACGCUGAGACGCGAAAGCGUGGGUAGCAAACAGG
rnacentral:rRNA from 1 species